ACUGAUGUCAUCUUGUACACGUUCUGUAUAAAAGAAGUACUGACCUCAGAGAACAUCAGAACUUCACUCUGCAGUGGAAAACAUUCAAGCUGAGAACAGAAACCUAGAGCAGAGAAAAGAAACUACAGCUGCAUCACCAUGAUUGCUCAGAUUUGUGUCGUACUCCUUCUUUUUGUUGCCGCUGGCAACGCACAGACCACUG